GCCAGGCGUGGUGGAACAUGCCUGUAAUCCCAGCAACUUGGGAGGCUGAGGCAGGAGGAUUACCAGCCUGGACAAUUUAGCCAGACCCUAAGCAAUUUAGUGAGACCCUAUCUCAA
rnacentral:sRNA from 1 species